GACAACAAGGAACACACAGUGGUGUGUGAGAGCUGAUACCGAGCUCUGGAGAUAUAAAUAGGACCUCCCUGCAACAAGGCUCCCACCAGCAGCACUGAUAACUCUCCGCGUGUUGUCUGCAGAGGAGCCAACCUGCCUGACGUCCUUAGUGCACCUCAUCAUCUAAAUCAUUCCGAUCAGCUUUAAAAACUAUUUGACGAUAACUCCGUUGCUUGACUAAUGGAGUAAGUGAUGAGGUCCUGUCAGAGGUAGGGAUGAGGUGGGGGGGGGGGGGUCUCCGCUUUCUAAAUAUCACCUCACCUGUUUCAAGCUGCUGUUGAGGCCUCCCCAUGUUCUUCCAGCACCUGUUUGAUUCUGGUGACGACUAACUGUUGUACAGGUCUUUUUGCCAUUUUAGGUAACCGGUUCUAUUAUUUCAGGAAAAGGC
ensembl:lncRNA